GCAGAUCAUAAAGAUGUAUGUUUCACACAAUUGAAGUUGGACCACUAGAAUACAAUUGAAGUUGGACGACUAGAAUAUUUAUACCCUAUGGCAACGCACGGGCAAUGUACUAGUAAUAAUGUAUAUGCCUUUGUACUUGUGUAUUUCAGUGUUCUUAUGUGAACUUCAUUAGCAGGGAUGGGUACCUAAUGAGGCUAAAUUGGUAGCCUGAUCCUGAAAUACAAAUGAUACACUACAGAAGCGGCCAAAAAAUAUUACAAUAACUUUCAUUACAGAAGAAAAAAAUAGUCAAAUUCGUCAGCAGGUUGCUCUCAAAUUAAUCAUUAACACUUAUAUUCUACAAUAAAUUAACUCAGAUUUCAACAGCUCACAGAUUUCAUGUACUCUAGCAUCAAGCUAACACUCCCAAUGUCAUCCAUUUCAGGGGGGGCUUACAGAACACAGUAUUUGACAAUUCAAGAGUUAUGGGACGCGAGUGAAAUCAACCAGGAGCUUGGUAACCCUGUGAAAGAACAAAUGUCACUAUCAUCAAGAGGUAUAAACAAUCACGAUUAAGAUAAUGUUGCCAUAACCACUUCUGUCAUUUUCUAACCGUAAACUGGAUCAUAUAAACAAUCAUAAGAAUAGUGCUGUAUGAAUACUACUCCCUCAAUUCAUAAAUAUAAGACGCUGAAUCUGAUGCAUAUAGGCACCUUUUAGUGUGUUUGUUCACUCAUUUCAAUGAAGGGAGUAGUACUUUCAGUGGUCAAAAUGAUUCAAGCAUUUGCUAAGAUGCAAAGUUCAAGAGGCCGGAAGGGACAUUUUAGGAAAAAUACAAAAUGAAGACAGUUCGCUUAUAGCAUGAAAUAAUGUUACGAAACUAGAGCAUCAUACAUUAUUCUAAGCUAUACUGCUUGUCACUGUCGAGACAAUAGUGUUUGAAAUCUAUUACUCCCUCCGUUCCUAAAUAUAAGUCUUUUUAGAGAUUCCACUAAAAACUAUAUACGGAUGUAUAUAGACAUACUUUAGAGUCAGGAUUCACUCGUUUUGCUCCGUAUGUAGUCUGUAAUGGAAUAGCAAAAAGACUUAUAUUUAGGAAUGGAGGGAGUAUGUUCUUAGAACAAGAGGCAAGAUUGUACAUACGAGCUACCAAAGUUUAGAUUUAUAUUUUGGUGAUUUUUUUCUGAAAAGAUUAUGCGAGAAGAUAACUCAGAGGGACAAGGAGUGGUUGAGGGAAAGCUGAAGAUUGGUAUGAAUGUCCAUGAUCUUACAUGGCAAGCUGCAGACAUCAAUGUCAUUGGUCUUUUAUUUUCAAUACUUCAACAAUCUAAUAAACUUAAUUGGAACAUUUGUACCAAAUUGUAGUCACUUAUUGGCAAGCUGUCUAUUUUCGCUACAUUUGGAAGAUAGCUCGCCAUGGGAUCAAACAUCCUUAAGAUAAAAUAAUCUCAAAUAUAAUACUACAUAUUAAAUCUAGCUGCAUACAUAUGCGGGUUACCCUGCUAGUUAAAUAAACAGACAUGCUAUUAGAAUAGCCAUUUAGAAGAAAGGAUGUUUAAUUUCACAAAUGUAUGUAGCUUGCUCCUUCGAUAACUGAAUGAGUGCAAAGGAUAAAUAUGAUCAAGUAUAAGAAAGAGGUAUUACUGGAAGAGAGCAUUAUAGUCCUGCAGAUCC
rnacentral:lncRNA from 1 species